AGGAAGAAUAAGGAUUCUUCUGAGUCUUUUACCAAUUGUCAUCAUUGGCCUAGGGGCAAAACACAUUUACGACUGCCCAAAGCAGCCCAUGGUUCCUGUCUACCUGCUAGUAGGAGGAAGUGUCUGUCUGAUGAUCCAGAUCCUCCCCUUUCUUUAUUGCAGCCACUCAAAUGGCCAACCCUUUCUGCUGUGCCAGAUUCUUAAAAUGUUGCUUCUCAUUUUUUGUCCGAUCUGGCUCUUGACAGGUAGCAUUUUUGUAUACAUGGCAUAUGAACCAAACUACGACUUUCGGCUGUCUGCUGACUACUGUGAGAGGACCGUCUAUAAGUUUGCUUUCUGGAUUACAAAUGCUAUAUACCUUGCCAUUCUGAUAGCACUGCUCGUACUCUGCUGCAGCUGGCUCCAGAAAUUCUGUAACAAAAGAGCUCAAAAGCAGUGUCACAUAAGGACCGUUUCCUGAAAAUGCUGUAAAUGAAGAGAAAGUCAUUUGGGUAAUGCACCAGCAGGAUGUUUUUACUUUUAUAAUCACAGAUGUUAUAAAAAUUACAUGUAAAUGUUUAAAUGGUCGUAUGUAUAUAUUUUAAAGUACAUUACAGAGGGAUCAGGGCAGAGGGAUAAUACAGACUAUAGUACACUACAGUACAUACAACUAUUGUACUUCAUGUAAUUAAACAAAGAGAUUUAAAAAGUUUACUCUCAUUUUGUCCUAGGUCUACUGUAGGAUGUCUGGUCUCAAGAUGAUGUCUGCAGUUGAAUGUGUAAUGACUCAGAACCUGAAUGUAGUACUUUAAACCCCAGGAACUGUUUCUUGAGAAACAUUAUAAUAUGAAACAUAUGUAAUAUGUUCAUGUUUCACAAAGAUGUUGGUCACUACAGGGAUUACAAACUACAUCGCUUUAUCAGUAUACAAUAAUCUCCUGUGGUCUUAAGAACUACUAUAAUUGCCUGACUCAUAAGUCAAUGAAAGUUCAUUUUACAUUAAUCAAAAUAUGAGUCAAUAGUGAAAGUCUAACAAAAUAUGGUUCCUCUUUUCAUUAACUGUUUUUACUUGCAUCAUAACUGAACAUAUGCUGUUGCUGUGGUGCAGAACAGAGCUAUGAAACCAUAUCAAAGUUCAUUAACUGUUUUUACUUGAAUCAUAACUGAACACACACUGAACAUAUACUGUUGCAGGCUUUGGUUUUGCCCAAAUUAAAUAUAUUGUAGGUUAAAUCUUAUCUAGUGGAGGUUUUAGCUUGUGUUCUCCGUGGUGAGAUUUCACAAUACAAUUCACACCGUACAAGAGCAAAACCUUGCUCUGAGCUGUCAGCUGUCAGGACUAUCAGUUAUCAAAAAAAAAAAAAAAAGGAAAAGAAAAGAAAAAAGUGGAAAAUCAUAAACUAGUGGU